rnacentral:rRNA from 1 species
GAUGAACGCUGGCGGCGUGCCUAAUACAUGCAAGUCGAGCGAACGGACGAGAAGCUUGCUUUUCUGAUGUUAGCGGCGGACGGGUGAGUAACACGUGGAUAACCUACCUAUAAGACUGGGAUAACUUCGGGAAACCGGAGCUAAUACCGGAUAAUAUUUUGAACCGCAUGGUUCAAAAGUGAAAGACGGUCCUGCUGUCACUUAUAGAUGUAUCCGCGCUGCAUUAGCUAGUUGGUAAGGUAACGGCUUACCAAGGCAACGAUGCAUAGCCGACCUGAGAGGGUGAUCAGCCACACUGGAACUGAGACACGGUCCAGACUCCUACGGGAGGCAGCAGUAGGGAAUCUUCCGCAAUGGGCGAAAGCCUGACGGAGCAACGCCGCGUGAGUGAUGAAGGUCUUCGGAUCGUAAAACUCUGUUAUUAGGGAAGAACAUAUGUGUAAGUAACUGUGCACAUCUUGACGGUACCUAAUCAGAAAGCCACGGCUAACUACGUG